rnacentral:rasiRNA from 1 species
CAUUGAACGACCCGUGCCCUGUGAGC